UUUGAGUAAAGCAUUUCUUUGUGUAUCUCCCGCACGGAACAUUGCAGAAACCGGAAUCUUUGCGAGACUGUGAGAAUAUUCAUCUUAUUUUAUUUCUACGAUUCUUGACUUUAUUUGUUAAAUGGUUUUGAUGAUUGUGUGACAGUGGUAUCUUUGACCCCAAAAGAAGAUCUAUUCCAAGGAAUGACUAUCCAAUUUCAUCGCAGAAUGGUUUUCUCCCAACCGUUACGUGAUACAGGAUAGAUUGGUUUGAACGGUUGAAGGAACGUUUGAUUUGCAUUGCAAAUAUUUUUAGGCUUAACUUCAUUUUGAAUUCUUUUUAAUUUUGUUAGGAUCUUCACACGUGGAGCUUACAACUUCAUUGACGCUUCAUGGCUCAGAGCUUCUUGCUUCAGAUUUGGUUUUUCGGGGAGCGAAAAAUCAUCGACCCAUGUGUAAGACAGUUCUAAUGCCAAACAGCUAAAGCUGAAAUGUUGGUUGACCUUAACACUCAGACUUAAAUGUACGUCGCACAUUGACAGUGGCCGGACAGCAACGUGAAGCCAGCUCAGUUCAGCCAUGUUUUGGGGCAUUCUUUGAGCUCGUUCAUCAAGUGAUCGUGCGACAGAAAAGAGAAGAAAAAUGGCGGAUUACUUCUAAAUCUAGAACAGGAUCCCAGAGACAAAUACAUUUACAACAGGUUUGAAGGAUGAUGCCACACGAUUUGGAAAACGUGCUAACUUACAUUGAAAUAAAGUUUAUGACACGCUUCUUAGAUAUACUUAUUAAGGAAAGAAAGUCUUGAAAUCAGUGUUUGCGGAGAAAAUAACUGAUAAAGCAGUUUGUGCUUUUAAAAGGGCUAACUAGGUUUUUUAAAAAACGCCUUUUUCUUGGACUUGCAAAGAAAUUUGGUCACAUAAAAUUCUAAGUCUUCUGGUGGUAAAAAUUUGCUAUUGAAAAAAGUCUGCGCUUGUGGAUUGUGUCCGGUGUUGAUCGAAAAAUAUAGUGUCUUUUGGCGGGAAAAAUUUGCUAUGGAAAAAAAAGUCUGCGCUUUUGGAUUGAGUCUGGUGUUGAUCGAAAAAUAUACUGUCUUUUGGCGGGAAAAAUUUGCUAUGGAAAAAAAAGUCUGCGCUUUUGGAUUGUGUCUGGUGUUGAUCGAAAAAUAUACUAAGUCUUUUGGCGGGAAAAAUUUGCUAUGGAAAAAAAAGUCUGCGCUUUUGGAUUGUGUCUGGUGUUGAUCGAAAAAUAUACUAACUCUUUUGGUGGAAAAAAUGUAUUGCAUCACGCAAUUUGUUUUCUCUUGUUAAAAGUUAAGUAUAUUUUUUGUUUUAAUACGAGAUGCUGUUCAAAUCCGCAGAAAGAUUUUUCCUCUCGGCAACUCUCCAUACGCAUUUUUUAUUAAAAGAGAGCCUAUAUUUUGGCUUGUUCCCAGACCCUUUUAAAGGCGCAAUUUUCUUAUGUAACUAAGAGAUAUCAAGAAGAAGAUAAAGAGACAAAUGUUGAAGUGAAGUCUUUAUUUGCUUGGCACUGAAUACAAUUAACAAGUAAAAAUGUUUACAACAGUUGAUAAGCAUUAUCAUGCAAAACAAGUUAGAUGAAUGUGUGUACCCUAAGAAAUAACUAGCUUAAUUGGCGAGGCGUAGCUAAAGCUGAUCAACAAGAAA
rnacentral:lncRNA from 1 species